rnacentral:rRNA from 1 species
UACAGAGGAUGCAAGCGUUAUCCGGAAUGAUUGGGCGUAAAGCGUCUGUAGGUGGCUUUUUAAGUCCGCCGUCAAAUCCCAGGGCUCAACCCUGGACAGGCGGUGGAAACUACUAAGCUGGAGUACGGUAGGGGCAGAGGGAAUUUCCGGUGGAGCGGUGAAAUGCGUAGAGAUCGGAAGGAACACCAACGGCGAAAGCGGUCGGCUGGGCCGACACUGACGCUGAGAGGCGAAAGCGUGGGGAGCGAAUGGG